rnacentral:lncRNA from 1 species
UUUAUCCGGGCGGCGGACGGCGAGUCGGACUGUACCAACUGCACUGAGGUGAGAGCCACAGCCUGGUCUAGUGCACUGAGGUGAACUCCAAUGUGCAGCCAUGGAUGAUGACAAUUUGGAUGAGCUUGUGGCUCACAGCCCUGGGCCAGAUGGACCUCCACAAGUUGGCUCCUCAGAACUAGCCAGUGAUGCUGAAGAAAGCAGCAAUGGCCACAGUGAAGACUCUGAAGAUGAUACAGGCAGUGAGCAGGAUGAUGACACAGAUGGGGAGGAAACAGAGGGGCUGUCUGAAGAGGAAGACCCAGAAGAUAGAUCUGGUUCUGAAGAUUCAGAAGAUGGAAUAGAAGUGCCAACAGCAGCAGUGGAGACUCAAAGGAAGCUUGAAGCUAGCAGUACACCCAAUUCUGAUGACGAUGCAGAGAGCUGCCCCAUUUGCCUCAAUGCAUUUAGAGACCAGGCUGUGGGCACCCCAGAGACCUGUGCCC